rnacentral:misc_RNA from 1 species
UACGAGAGCUCCAAGCGUUAUCCGGAAUUACUGGGCGUAAAGGGUCCGUAGGUGGUCUAGUUAGUCUCAUGUUAAAGCAUCGGGCUCAACCCGAGACAGGCGUGGGAAACGGCUAGACUAGAGAGUGCGAGAGGUCUGCAGAACGCAUGGUGUAGGGGUGAAAUCCGUUGAUAUCAUGCGGAAUACCGAAAGCGAAGGCAGCAGACUGGCGCAUUUCUGACACUGAGGGACGAAAGCCAGGGGAGUGAAUCGG